AGAUUUUCUUGACAAAAAUUGGUUAAAGUUGAUUUUAUUGUGAAAAGUUUCUCUUCUUAUGUUGAUUUAAAUCACAUUUUGUUUGGUGUAGUGCUCUCUAAGUUGGCAUCUGUGGUCUGUGGUAACUUGUAGAACAUCCUCCCAGGCACCUCUAUAUUUCAGAGCAUCUAUUGUAAAUCCCAACAUUAGUCUAAUGGGCCAGCCUUGGCAUGUGUUGUGGUCUCUUUCCUUUGCAGGAUUUAGGUCCUCCUGAGUUCUGGGAGUAAAGGAGUGUGCCACCAAUGCCUGGCUCUUUCAAUCAUUUUUAUAAUUUAUGUUUCUGCUUGGCUUAAAGUAAAAAAUGCCCCUAAAUGUCUCUGAUUUACAUUGUGAUCAUGUUUAAAAAUCGAUUUUUUUGUCUGAGCCUGCUUAGGAAUAGGGAGACUACUACAUGAAUGUGUUUACACUCACUAAGUGAAAUCCACAUGCUUCUUUGCUUAGGAAAAGUGUUGUUUUGGAAACAAUGACCAGGAUCUCCAUACCUCCUUCAGCCACUUCCUUGAGCGUUUGGUGUAUAUUGAAGACCAGCUGAGAUAUUCAGCCCCAUGAUCAGAACAACUCCUGGAUUCUUCAAAUUUUUAUGGGGAGGCAAUCAUUGCUGGACCAUCUGGACCAACACCUAAGACAUUCUAAUAAAUUCAUUUC